ACAUACGACCAUAGACUCAAGAGAAUUGCCAUACACAAGCUUGAGAUCGGUGGAUUAGUAGUUGGGUGGGUGACCACCAGCGAAUACCCACUGUUGUAUGUU
rnacentral:rRNA from 1 species